rnacentral:rRNA from 1 species
ACGAACGCUGGCGGCGUGCUUAACACAUGCAAGUCGAGCGGUAAGGCCUUUCGGGGUACACGAGCGGCGAACGGGUGAGUAACACGUGGGUGAUCUGCCCUGCACUUCGGGAUAAGCCUGGGAAACUGGGUCUAAUACCGGAUAUGACCUCCUAUCGCAUGGUGGGUGGUGGAAAGAUUUAUCGGUGCAGGAUGGGCCCGCGGCCUAUCAGCUUGUUGGUGGGGUAAUGGCCUACCAAGGCGACGACGGGUAGCCGGCCUGAGAGGGUGACCGGCCACACUGGAACUGAGACACGGUCCAGACUCCUACGGGA